rnacentral:rRNA from 1 species
GACGUAGGGCGCGAGCGUUGUCCGGAUUUAUUGGGCGUAAAGAGCUCGUAGGUGGCCCGGUCAGCGUGCGGUGAAAGCUCGGGGCUCAACCCCGAGUCGGCCGUGCGAACUGCUGGGCUCGAGCACUGUAGAGGCAGGCGGAAUUCCGGGUGUAGCGGUGGAAUGCGUAGAGAUCCGGAAGAACACCGGUGGCGAAGGCGGCCUGCUGGGCAGUGGCUGACACUGAGGCGCGACAGCGUGGGGAGCAAACAGG